UACGUAGGCAGCGAGCGUUGUUCGGAGUUACUGGGCGUAAAGGGUGUGUAGGCGGUUGCUUAAGUUUGGUGUGAAAUCUCCCGGCUCAACUGGGAGGGUGCGCCGAAUACUGAGUGACUCGAGUGCGGGAGAGGAGAGUAGAAUUCCUGGUGUAGCGGUGAAAUGCGUAGAUAUCAGGAGGAACACCGGUGGUGUAGACGGCUCUCUGGACCGUAACUGACGCUGAGACACGAAAGCGUGGGUAGCAAACAGG
rnacentral:rRNA from 1 species